rnacentral:rRNA from 1 species
UACGAGGGGGGCGAGCGUUGUUCGGAAUUAUUGGGCGUAAAGGGUGCGUAGGCGGUUUGGUAAGUCUUGUGUGAAAUCUACAGGCUCAACUUGUAGUCUGCACGAGAAACUGCCGGGCUUGAGUAUGGGAGAGGUGAGUGGAAUUCCUGGUGUAGCGGUGAAAUGCGUAGAUAUCAGGAGGAACACCUGUGGUGUAGACAGCUUACUGGACCACUUCUGACGCUGAGACACGAAAGCGUGGGUAGCAAACAGG